GGGAUGAAUUGGCUUUCAGAUGAGGUGAUUGACAGUUACCUUCACAUCCUUGCAGAAGAACAGAAGGACCACAUAUUUGUGCUGUCUUCGGUUGUGUCAACAUCUCUGUUUAAUGGACAGUUUAGAUGUGUGAGGAAGAUGAUCAUCCCAAACAGGGAUUUGUGGCUGUGUCCAUACAACACAGGAGGGCAUUGGAUUCUUGUGGUCUGUAAAUCUAACAAUAUUCAUAUAUUUAACAAUAUUCCACAUAAAUAUGCAACUAAAACAGAUAAACUGCAAUGAGUUACAGAUUGUGAAAAUGUCAGGAAAGGCCCUACUUGUUAUUGACCCCUUAAGCAAUGAGCAGAGAUACAGCAGGAGAAUCUUGAGAAACUGGAGGUAAUUAUUUAAAUGUUUUAGCUCAGUACACACAAGUGCUGUCAGGAAAGUCCCAGUGACUUUCUAUUUUAUGUGAGGCAUUGAGUUAUGAAAUGCAAAAUAUAAACUGUUUGCCUUUUCCUUUGCCUUUUCCAUACUGAACUAAUGCUAAACCCUGUAAACUUACACCUGGGACACACAGCCUGCGUGAGCAGUGCAUGUGCAUUGCGGAACCUCUUGCUUUUCAUUUCGGCGCCCAUGUUAACAGGUUAGAGCAGCCACGCAGCCCGUCUCACACGUGGCUGCUGCGUCAUCUAGAGAUCCGAGGUCUUGCCUAUUUUCUCUGCGUGACACGCGCGGUUCUCAGCAGAAAUAGACAGAAAACGAUCUGUUGAUAGUCAUAUUAACAUCAUAUCAGCAACAUAACACCUUUAACUGUGGUUUCAAUGUCUGCAUCUGUAGAAUAUGUCACAGACAUAAAGUGUCACCACUGCGGGUCAGCCUGCAUGGUGCACGCCAGGGCAGGGAGCCUCUCUG